rnacentral:pre_miRNA from 7 species
CUUCAGAGUUCCAGGGUGUCACGCAGAUCUUGGUGGGACCUCCAAAUGAAAGAACUUCGUGGGGAUACCCCUACCUGAGUCAUGAGAUAGUGUGUACCCAAAGAAUCACGAGAGACA